GGUCAAUGGGGCGAGAGCCUGAACCAGCCAAGUAGCGUGAAGGAUGACUGCCCUAUGGGUUGUAAACUUCUUUUAUAAAGGAAUAAAGUCGGGUAUGGAUACCCGUUUGCAUGUACUUUAUGAAUAAGGAUCGGCUAACUCCGUGCCAGCAGCCGCGGUAAUACGGAGGAUCCGAGCGUUAUCCGGAUUUAUUGGGUUUAAAGGGAGCGUAGAUGGAUGUUUAAGUCAGUUGUGAAAGUUUGCGGCUCAACCGUAAAAUUGCAGUUGAUACUGGAUAUCUUGAGUGCAGUUGAGGCAGGCGGAAUUCGUGGUGUAGCGGUGAAAUGCUUAGAUAUCACGAAGAACUCCGAUUGCGAAGGCAGCCUGCUAAGCUGCAACUGACAUUGAGGCUCGAAAGUGUGGGUAUCAAACAGGAUUAGAUACCCUGGUAGUCCACACGGUAAACGAUGAAUACUCGCUGUUUGCGAUAUACAGCAAGCGGCCAAGCGAAAGCGUUAAGUAUUCCACCUGGGGAGUACGCCGGCAACGGUGAAACUCAAAGGAAUUGACGGGGGCCCGCACAAGCGGAGGAACAUGUGGUUUAAUUCGAUGAUACGCGAGGAACCUUACCCGGGCUUAAAUUGCAGAUGAAUUACGGUGAAAGCCGUAAGCCGCAAGGCAUCUGUGAAGGUGCUGCAUGGUUGUCGUCAGCUCGUGCCGUGAGGUGUCGGCUUAAGUGCCAUAACGAGCGCAACCCUUGUUGUCAGUUACUAACAGGUUCCGCUGAGGACUCUGACAAGACUGCCAUCGUAAGAUGUGAGGAAGGUGGGGAUGACGUCAAAUCAGCACGGCCCUUACGUCCGGGGCUACACACGUGUUACAAUGGGGGGUACAGAGGGCCGCUACCACGCGAGUGGAUGCCAAUCCCAAAAACCUCUCUCAGUUCGGAUCGAAGUCUGCAACCCGACUUCGUGAAGCUGGAUUCGCUAGUAAUCGCGCAUCAGCCAUGGCGCGGUGAAUACGUUCCCGGGCCUUGCACACACCGCCCGU
rnacentral:rRNA from 1 species